CUGCGCGCCCGCGACAGGCACCGGGGCGAGGGAGAGGCGAGCGCAGCACAGGCCGCCCAUCAGGGGCAGGGGAGGCCGGCCGGUGCAGCGCGGGGACACGUACUCAGUCCGACUCGGGCUGGCACUG
rnacentral:other from 1 species